rnacentral:rRNA from 1 species
CAGUCGCCGCGGUAAGACAGAGGAUGCAAGCGUUAUCCGGAAUGAUUGGGCGUAAAGCGCGCGUAGGUGGUUUGUUAAGUUGGAUGUGAAAUCCCCGGGCUCAACCUGGGAACUGCAUCCAAAACUGGCAAGCUAGAGUAUGGUAGAGGGUGGUGGAAUUUCCUGUGUAGCGGUGAAAUGCGUAGAUAUAGGAAGGAACACCAGUGGCGAAGGCGACCACCUGGACUGAUACUGACACUGAGGUGCGAAAGCGUGGGGAGCAAACAGGAUUAGAUACCCCUGUAGUCCCUGUCUCUUAUAC